rnacentral:snRNA from 19 species
GCCCUCGAGGCAUCCGGUCAAUUUGAAACGAUACAGAGAAGAUUAGCAUGGCCCCUGCACAAGGUUGACACGCUUUAUCAAGGAGAUGCUAAACUUUUUU